rnacentral:rRNA from 1 species
AUGUCGAGAGGGAAACAGCCCAGAGCAUCGACUAAGGCCCCUAAGCGUACGCUAAGUGGGAAAGGAUGUGGAGUCGCACAGACAACCAGGAGGUUGGCUUAGAAGCAGCCACCCUUGAAAGAGUGCGUAAUAGCUCACUGGUCUAGUGAUUCCGCGCCGACAAUGUAGCGGGGCUCAAGCGUACCGCCGAAGUCGUGUCAUUGCAGCAAUAGGGCCAACGCCUGCUGUGAUGGGUAGGGGAGCGUCGUGUGCCGGGUGAAGCCGCGCCGGAAGGCAGUGGUGGACGGUUCACGAGUGAGAAUGCAGGCAUGAGUAGCGAUACACACGUGAGAAACGUGUGCGCCGAUUGACUAAGGGUUCCUGGGUCAAGCUGAUCUGCCCAGGGUAAGUCGGGACCUAAGGCGAGGCCGACAGGCGUAGUCGAUGGAUAACCGGUUGAUAUUCCGGUACCCGCUGUGAAGCGUCAAACAUUGAACCAGGCGAUGCUAAGUCCGUGAAGCCGCCCUGGAGCCUUCGGGCGAAGGGGAGUGGUGGAGCCGACGGACCAGACCUGUAGUAGGUGAGUGAUGGGGUGACGCAGGAAGGUAGUCCAUCCCGGGCGGUGGUUGUCCCGGGGUAAGGGUGUAGGACGUUGUCCAGGUAAAUCCGGACAGCACAUAGUCUGAGACCUGAUGCCGAGCCGAUUGUGGUGAAGUGGAUGAUCCUAUGCUGUCGAGAAAAGCCUCUAGCGAGUUUCAUGGCGGCCCGUACCCUAAACCGACUCAGGUGGUCAGGUAGAGAAUACCGAGGCGUUCGGGUGAACUAUGGUUAAGGAACUCGGCAAAAUGCCCCCGUAACUUCGGGAGAAGGGGGGCCAUCACCGGUGAUGAGUCUUGCACUCUGAGCUGGGGGUGGCCGCAGAGACCAGCGAGAAGCGACUGUUUACUAAAAACACAGGUCCGUGCGAAGCCGUAAGGCGAUGUAUACGGACUGACGCCUGCCCGGUGCUGGAACGUUAAGGGGACCGGUUAGUCACUCUUCGGGGUGGCGAG